GGGUCGACCCUUUUUAUUUAUAUUACUGGAUAGCCAAACUGUGUUUCUAGCUUUUACAUAUACUUGAACUAUGGUAAAAGAAGAAGUAGGUUAAGCUUAAGUCACCGCUUAUCAAAACAAACAAACAACAUUAACAUUGUUAUCAUCAAUACCAAUCAUUCAACAACCACAAAAAUAUAUAAAUACUCCCAAAAUUAUGAGAUAAUGUGAAUUACGAUUUACAAAAAAAAAUAUUUUACGAUAUAAAAGAAAGUGCUCUCGACUAUAAGCAAGAAAGAAAUUUCAGACAAUAAACCAAAAUGGAUACAGUUGAUUUCUGCAGAAAGUUCACUGAAUUGCAAGGUGAUUUAAUAAGUGAAAGAAGAGAAUAUUUAUUCAGACUGAUUAGAACACCCUCACUGUUUACAAGUGAAGCUCAAUUAAAAAGUGCCUUACAAAAUCUUAAACCUGCUACCUAUCAACAACAUCUAUUCUAUAUAGACACAUUGAUAUAUUUCAGAAGGAUUGAUGAGCUUUUGGAAAUAUUCUUACAAGGGAACGUGAUUUAUACAAACAGGAUUUUUAAGCAAUCAUGGUUUCUUGAGUUGAUUUUAAAAGAUAAAGAAGUUCAUUGUUUUGUUAAUGAGUUUUUGCCCCUUGUACCUUACUCUAUCAAAUGUAGAUUGAUUGUCACAGCUUCAAAAUUAUGGAACCAAGAAAAGAAUGAUGCUUUAUUUGAUGCUGUUUAUAUCAGAUAUGGUCUUACUUUGGCUGUACCCAUAUUACACCAUUGUUCCUUACCAAAAGUAGAAUUUCAAAUUAAAGAAAAUGAUUUGAGGUUACGUUCCAAGCAAAUACUUCAGUUGUAUGAAAGAGAUGAAAAUUUCUUGCAGUUGUAUUUGAAUCAUCACAAACGACUUAGAAACAACGCAUACAAUGAGAAGAGAGUUGUAAGAUGUUUAUUGAGGAAAAAUCCUACAUUAUUCCUAAAAAUUAUAAAAGAAGAUAUAAUUAAAACACCCUAUUUAGGAAAAAGCUGUUCAAAACGUUUGUUAAAAUCUGUUAGGGAAGAUUUGUUUUUAAACGUAAAGUUUUAUUUAACUUUUGUGAAAAAAUCAGUUGUAAUGUGGAGAUUGAGAGCCGAUUUGAAAUUUGAAAAAUUAUAUGAGCAAACUUUUGCAACAUCUUUUACCGAAAUUAGUAAUAACCCCAGUAAUUCAUUGUUAAAGUACUACCCCAAGUCUCGUCACUGGAAUCUAUUCCUACAAACCUGUAAUGAAAAGUUUCCCGAUAAAAACCUAGAAGAUAUUCUACUUGCCUUAGAUAAUGUAGAGCAGUUACACCCUCCGAGAGACCUUGUAUGGAAAUGGGCAGAGCUAAAUUAUGAGAAGCAUAUGGGAUAUAAAUGGGCAUACCAGAAGUUUCUAGGGUACUUUGAACCUUCAAAGGCGAUUGUUCUUAUAAAGGAGAAGAUUAAUUUAACAUCUGAAAUCUCUGAAAGAUGUCUGCUAGUUGAUCUUAUGUUGAAGUCUUGCCAAAGAAGUAAUAAUUUGACUGUACUAGAAGAAGUGCUGAAGUAUAUAUGUUUUAGGCACAGGAAUGAAGAUUUUGAAUUCAGAAACACAAUAUUGCAUAAAAUACGGCUUUAUUUUGAUCCCCAGCAGUUUAACGGAAACCAUUGGAAGUGUAUUGACGAGAUCAUCCAAAUUAUGAGAAUCCAAAAAGAAUAUAGUUACGCUGAUCAUCCAGACUUACAAGAGGAAUACAUAGAAUUUUUAUUUCUAAGCGGAAAAGACUACAAAAAGGAUCUUAUGGAUUAUAUAUACGACAAUCAGUCUCAUUAUAUACAUCUAACACUGAAGAAUAUUUCGGUCCAGAAGCGUAUCUACACUGCAGUAUUAAACAUUUUACCUGAAGUUACUUGCGAGGAUCCAUUUGUUUACAAAAAGAUGAAAUUUAACUAUUUAAAUAUGGUGAAAAACUUCAGCAUGAGGCAUCCAGAACACUGUAUAAACAUAUCCGAUUUUCCUGUAUAUAUGGAUACGAUUGAAAGUGUUGUGUCCAAAGUCAAUAAUUUUGAUAUCUACGAUAGAUCUUUGCUAUUAUUGACAAUACAAUACAACUACAAAUUUCCAGACAACACAGUUUGGCUUAAUGUUGAUAUUGUCGAAUUAAUAAUGAAAAUGAUAAGUGAUGCAGCACAUAUGUGUGGAUUUGAUGUAUUAUUUGAAGAGUUUCUUUGUAAGAAGCAUCGAACACAGUUUGAACACGAUCUAUUAGAGCUUUAUUUUAGCUGUUUAAUAAAUAAUUACAUGAAUGGAUAUGUUGUUAAUUGGUUCAUAAUGAAUGAACCGAAAUUUCUUGUACCUUACUUUAGAAAAAUAGCAUAUAAAAGUAUUUCUACAGUGUUUCUUAAACACUUAGACGUUAUCAAGCAUUAUUCGCACUUAGGAUUUGAUGAAAUACUAUGUCGUAUUUAUAAAGAACAGUUAGAUAAUGAUGAUGUAGUAAAUCAUAAACGAUUACUUGAAAAUUUACAACUAUUACUUCCUACGAGUGAUUUCCUAGAACUUGUUAAGGAAAAAUAUAUACCGCAACAAGAUAAGUUCACAGAAACAGAACAGAAGAUUGUCCUCUAUAUAAACUAUCUGCGCUGUGAUGCUGCUAGAUUACUGGUUAGCGUAACUGAACCUGAUAAAGCUAUACCAAUUGCCUUACAGUUUUGUAGAGGAGACUACCUCCGUUCAGGUAUUAGAUCAUUAUAUUCAAGCUUCUAUAAAACUGCCGAACAAACAUUGUAUCCUUAUAUAGAAGCUGUGUCACGUUUAUCUGUUCCUAUUAGAAAACAUGCGAUUUUUUUGAGCUGCGCAUUGAUGAACAAAGAAUGCGUCUUAAACGUGCUCGAAGUAGCUAAAGAAACUGAUAUUUCAGUUCAAAAAAACCAUUUUUCGGCAUCUUUGAAAUUUUUCUUGAAACAUCCAUCCCAAAAGUAUUUAGAUGAAAUCCUAAAAGAAAUUGGUGGAGCGAAUGGAUUAGAUAGAAAGUUGGUGUACACUCUGGUGAAAGUGAAAAUGCCUUUAAAGUACAGAACAGUAUAUUUAGAAAAUAGCUGGAAAUUUGUUGAAGGAUUAAGAGAAGCAUGGACGUUAAAUAUUACGAAGUAUCUAGGUAAAAUACUGCGCCAAGUACAUACGGAUAUGUUGAGGUCAUUUUCAGAUAGUUUCAUAGUGCAUGUAGUCAAAAGUUAUUUCACAAUCACCGAACAAAAUAGACCGGAUAAUUUUGAUACAUUUUUAGUACAACUCUUAAAGCAUAGACCUGAAAAUAGGACUCUUAUAUUAGAUGUAAUAUUUUCAAACCAAUCGAAUAUACCAAAUCUAUCACAAAUACAUUUCUUUAAGAUAUUGUGCAAAUAUAUACGUAAGAAAGACAUUGACACACAACUUAUAAAUUCAGUUCGGCAAUAUUGGAAUAAUUUUAGUGUGCUGGGCAGUUUUGAUCAACAUGUUCCUCUCAAACUAAUUGCAUUGCAAAUUGACAGUUCCACUACGGCUGAAUUUGCAAUUGGUGUAAUAGACUACUUAGAACAGUUAAUGUCUGAAUUUGGGCCUUCGAUUUAUUGGAUUUUUGAGCAGCAUAUUCAUUUUAUUUGUAUUAACAUGAAUGAUGAGGAAAUAUUAUCAUUUUGUUCAGAGGCUAUACAUUAUAAAAUCAGUGCAACUGUCUGUAUACUGAUUAUGAAUCUUAUUAAAAAUAUUAAAACAGAAAAGAAGAAACUAAUAAUGACAGAGUUGAAAAACAUUGAAAUACCUAUUGUUCAGAUUUAUCUCAAUCAACCAUUAACCCAUUAACGCCCAAGUUUUUUUUAUUUAAAAAUCUUUACUUUUCGGGUUAAUUUGAUGAAAAUGUUAAUAGUUUAAUCCAAAAAAACAAGUUUUUCGGUUUCCUGUCUUUUUUUAAAAAAAUUAUAUGGUGUUACCAUAUGGUAACGCUGGGCGCUUAAGGAAUUUUUAGGAUCGUUGAAACCAAAAUUUUGAAUUUUUUUUUUAAAUAUUUAUUUGAGAACAUUUUCGUCGUCUGGUGUGGUAUCCUAUAAAACAAUUAACAUACAAACCAACGUUGCAUUUUUUACACAUUGUUCGUCCAGAUGUUGUACAUCUGUCUCUAGCACAUCUCCUUCUACUGCUUGAUGUAACAAAUGGUCGAGGCGAUCAAAACGAAGAUCUGGCAAGUUCUGUCUAUGUAGACUAGGUCUUCCUGUAUAUAAGGGACGACUUCCAUAUCUUGCAAGAAGAACUUGGACCAAUUCUCUCCUAAACAAUAGCAAGGAUAUAUUUUUUUUAUUUUUUUUAUAUAAAUGCCAUGAAUUACGGACUGCAACAUCCAACAACCAUGUUACAAUUUGUCAGUAUCAUUUUUACUGCAAAUUGCUACUCGGUAGGUUGAAACACCUUGAUCCAUCCAGUCGGUACCCACCAUAUUUGGUUGCAUUCAGCAAUAUAGUGAGACCGACUUACUUGAAUGUGGCCCUUGAACGGACGUCCAUCUUUUUCUAUAAAUUUAAACCACACUGUCAUAUGAUUAUCUCUCGACGGUUGAGAAAAGGCUAAAAUACGAAUCUGUUACGUUUUAUGGGUGCCUGAAGUAUUCCUAGAAACGAUGGUUCUGAAAAUAUAUGGCUGACUAAUUCCAUGGGCUAUAAAAUAUAUGUUACGUAUGGGAUGUCCACGAGAUACUUUACGUGAAGAUCCCUAGGUUCAUUAAUAUAAAAAUACUCAAGUGCCGCUUAAAACCAAGUUUUUAUUACUUUUUCGGUGAACUUUACAAGAUGGACUUGACUUUACAAAAUGAUUGACGUUACUUAUAUUAACACACUUUUUUCAAUUUUUUGGAAAUAUUGAUAUAAGGCAUUCAUAUAUAUUUAUUAAGAAUUUUUAAAAAUCAUGUGUUUUACGUUACCAUAUGAAGAGCUCAAGAAUAAAAGGAUGAGGGUUCAAAAAGACAAGUUUUGAGAUAUUAAGUUUUUAAGUUUUAAAACUAGAUAUAAAAAUAAUUAACAGAAAAGGCACUUGAUUUUGGUUACUAAAUCAUUCAAUAACUUACAGGGAAGGUAUAGGUUAUGUUUUUGUGUUAUCAAUUUACAAAUUACUAUAAAUAUAUUAUCUUUUUAUGUCAUGAAAUCUCAAGCUAAAUGGAUGAGGGUCCAUUAACGUGUCUUAAAAUGAAACUAAAAAUACAGAUAAAGUAGUCUAUAUUACAAAUAGUUUAUAUUGCAAGUAGUUACAGAUAAUAUACAAUGAAAAAUAAACGCUUUAAGCAUGUGGCAGUGCGUCAAAAUAUGCUUGAGACUUAACAGAGCAAAAUUUUUUCAAAUGUUGGAUAUCGUCGAAUUUUGCUUUAUUUAAAGGUAAAAGUCCACAAUAUGCUAGCUCUGGUAGGUGAAAACAGCCUUCAGGUAGUGAAAUUUGUUUCCUCUAAGGCUUAGUAACAAUAUUUUCUUCAUUUAGGCCAUUAACAGUUUGACGAUGUAACAUCAUUCGAGGGUGAUGAGAAACGAUGCUUAGUUGCCGUACAGGUCGUGUUUUGAAAUGACAACUUUUUGUAUACAAAGGAGAAAGAAACUUAGUCCAUGACUUAAAUAUUUCCUGGUUCUCGCAAGAAAUAACUCUAAAUGGUGUUGGUUUGGAUCUGGAGUGUUCAAUAAUUUCGUUCCACUCCGAAGGGGUUUUAACCACAGAUUUUUGAUUGAUUAAGCCCAUGUUCCUGUCACACUCGAGGUACGAGUGGCCUCUGAUUGGAAAAAACAUUGUUAUUUUAUCAAGUCUCUUAGUGUAGUGUACAAUGUAGUGAAGCAUACGGAAAACGGCGUAAUUUUUAUCCUGACCUGCGCAUGAAUCGCAGAAAAUUUUAAGCACUUUUACUUGCAAGUCAAGGUGAUUAAAAAUAAAAUCCCAAAGCAAGGAACAAACCUCAUCACCUCCUUUCUUGCCAUAGAUUUCUGCAUAGGUAUAAAAAAAAGAUUCUGAGUCUGAAAGUUUAUGUAUGUUGAACAUGUAAACUGAUAGUUGCCUACGAUAAUACACAUCGUUAGUACUAAUAUUUGGGACAGGCAAAUUCUUUUGGAAAUCCAUUGCAAUCGCUUCUUUUGUUUUGUCUUUUUGUGCUUCAAGCCUAGCACUUCAAAAAUGUAAUAACAUCAAUCUACACCAAAAUAACAGAAAACUAUAAACACAGAUAUGUACGUUUACAAACCUCUGGGCAACAAACAACUCUAAUAGCAGAGAUCUCUGUGGUCAGAAGUCUGAAGUAGGUGGACUGUCAUCCUUUUAGCCUGCGUUUGUAGCACCUUCAUUCUUUUAGCCUAGAAGACCUAUUUUUCAAAGCUGAAUGGCUAGUACACCGUCAUCUUUAUUGCUUAGUUAGAUACCAUACAAUAUUUUACAUGGGAUAAAGUACAAAAAAUUCGUAUUAUCUCCAUAAUGACGUAUAAUGGACCCUCAUCCUUUUAGCUUUGAGCCCUUCAUAUGGUAACGCUGGGCGCUAAUGGGUUAAAUCAUGUGUCACUGCCCCAGACCUAUUGGUAGAUAGCGGCGAUUUUUGCAGUUACUCGAGCGCGUUAGAAAAUCACAUGGGGAGAAACGUUAUUAUAUUGAAUCCUGUGUAAAUGUACCCCUACCAUAUAUUGAAUCUUAAUACAGGGGAGUUCGUUGAUGGGGGUCCGAAAAAAAUCUAUCCUUAGAAAAAUUCGAAGUCGUUAGAUUACAUGCAGAACAGUGUAUAUUUUAAAAAUCUGAAAUGGGUGAGUCACAAAGUUUCACAAGAAAAAAACGACUAUUUUGAGAAAUAAACUUCAGAUCGAAAACCUAAAAAAUACGUGCUCAAUAUUUUUCAAAAAUCUAUUGAAUGAUACCAAACACGACCCCCACGGAAGCGGGGUGGGGGUUACUUUAAAAUAUUAAAUAGGAGACCCAUUUUUUAUUGCAGAUUUGGAUUCUUUACGCCAAAAUAUGUAACUUUUAUUCGAGACACUUGACACUUUUUUGAAUCAUGGGUAGAUGGCGCUAUAAUCGGAAAAAAACGAUUGUUGGAAAUGGAAAAUUAAAUUAAAAAAAUGGAAAGUCCCCACUUAAAUGGAAAACUGUACUUAACUUUUUUUGGUUUUAGGACCUAAUCUUCACAACCCAAUAGGUCUUCAUAACGCUCGAGUAACUGCAAAUUUAGCAUAUUUUCCACCCCUACUAUAUCUUAUAUAUAAAAAUCAACUGCUGUUCGUUAGUCUCGCUAAAACUCGAGAAUGGUUGGAGCGAUUUGGCUAAUUUUGAUGUUGAAUUAUUUGUGGAAGUUCAGGGAAGGUUUAUACUGUAUUAUAUCGUCAUUUUAGUAGUCACCAAAAAUUUUACAUCUAUAUGUAUAAAAUGCUCUUUUUUACAAUGUUUGUUGCCAUACUCUUCCGAAACGACUGGCCGAUUUUUAUGAAAUUUGGCAGAUAUAUUCGACCGGACUGGGAGUAGACCGGGAACCGAAAUUUUCUGACGAACGGCAAGUAGGAGAAAAGUUCUGAGCACACGAAAAGAACAAGCAGCAAAUGAUAAAAUUUUAUUUCAUUUUAUUAAAUAUUAAAUAUUUUUGUUAGAUUCUAUUUACUUACUUUUAUUUAAUUUAAUUAUUUUUUUGAUUUAUUUAUUAUUUUUAGUUUAUUCAGUUUUAUUUACUUUUAUUAAAUUUUAUGAAAUUUUAUUUUAUUUAAUGAUAUUUAAGUUUAAUUUGGUAAGAGCGCCUACGAAUGGUGGUGAGUUCGAAUCUCACCAGGGUCAGGAAUUUUUCGUUUAUUAUAAAUUAAUGGAUGGAAAUAGUUUCUGUCCUUGUGAGAUCGGUACUCACCGGAGUGACCGCAGACGUUCGGAUACAAUUAGCGUCUCUUUGAAAAGACAAUGAUGUCGACUUUGCAAAGUAACAAGACACUUACUCUACACACACACCCUACACAUGACACUAAGUACCUAACAGCAAAUAUUCACCGUACAUACCAUGCCAAUGGCCAUUAGUUGUCGAGGCAUUAGCUAAAUAAAAAAAAUUAGAAUUUAAAUUUGUUUAUUGUUCAUAUAAAUAUCUGUAAUACAAAAUUUUAUCCAUCCACAUAAAAUAAUAAUAAAAUUAUUUGUACAUUUUGUUAUGUUUCUUUUAUAUUUGUAUUUUUUAAUAAAACAUUUUAUUACCGCUAA
rnacentral:misc_RNA from 1 species